rnacentral:lncRNA from 1 species
ACAACUUCUGGAGAUAAUGUGAUUUACCACUUUUCGAGGAAAAAGGUCGUCGUCUUCGUGGAAAGUUUGUGAUGACGUUGAAAGAAGGCGGCGCAAGACGACCUCAGAGGCAGCACGGGUUGGCCACCAGCCACCGUGACCCCUCCCUUUGUCUUACCCGUUAUUUAUUGCAAAAUAAUGCAUCUACCCCAGAGCGACCGUACCGGCUUUGUUGACCCUGAGCGCUGGGCCCUGAAAUCGGGCAAGACACUGUUCAUGGCUGAUUGUUUUACACGUGGUAAGAAAGGGCCCCCGUGUGAAACUAGACUGAAAUCUCUUUUGCUUCAAGUUCUGUACUGUUCCUCACUUCCUCUUCUUUACCGGGAUGACUCUCUAAACUCACCGAUAAGCCCUUGGCUCCACUAUGUCUUCGCAUUCUUUGCUCUGUUUGGUCCUUUGUGUGUCCCCCCCACAGCCCCCCCACAUGAAAUCAACUAAGUCGGAACCUGCGAACAGUCCGGCUGUCAGGCUGGUCCACCGAUGAUGCUUUGUUAGACUUUUACAGUGUAUUUUUAAACGGUGUCUUUGUUACACACAGGAUAUCAGGAGAUUCUACGUAAUUAGCCUCUCUUUAGAAUUCUCUCAAAAUAUCAGGACGCCUGGCAAGCCAGCGCAUUUUCCCUCAGGGCAGCGAGUAGCUGAAGCUGCCUCUUUCGUCUUAGGACUGGUCAGAUUCGCUGAUUUAUUUCCUCCCUGAAGCCCCGGGAUGGGACCACGAUGCAGAGGAGUGACCAGAGGACCUCGGACAGUAAGUUGCUGCACCAUCUGGAGGAGGGGACAGAGGUCGCUUCGCAUCUGGACACCAAGGGACCUUGCGGCUGGCGUUGGGGACGGGAAACCCCAAGCCGUGAUCUGUGUGGAUGGACGGGGGACCAAGCAGGCAGCACUGGAUGCCAAAGAGUGAACACGUGGUGGCAAGAUCGGAAGCCCCCAGAGCCUCAGCGUCGCCAAGGAAUGGAAUGAGGACAGGAGCACAUUGGGUCGUGGUAUCCAAAGCGUUCAAAGUUGUUUCUGAAGAGGUAUGCACACCUGAAGAUGCAGCCUGGGGUCCACGCUUUCCACAGUGUGGAUGGAGGCCUCAUAGUAAAAGACUUUUCCUCUGCGUCUCCCUACUGACCGCCUCCUUUUCUCUAAGAGUUUUAGCCAUCUCCUGACACACCUGAUGGCCAAAAAGAGUAAGCGCCACCCAGAGAGUUGCCCAUACGUAAGCGCCACCCAGAGAGUUGUUUGCUCUCGUUAGAGCUGCUGUUCUGCAAACGACAAUCGUUGCCUCCAUCUGUGCAGUGCGUGGCAGGAUGUGCUGGUCUCCGCGCUGCAGAAUGUCAGCAGGUGCUGCUUAAAGGUGGCAUCUUUACAUGACCCGGAGUUGUUGCUGGGUGUCAGCCUCAGCUGGGGGUGCAGGGCAGCUGGGACACAUCUGAAGGGCCUCGCCACGCAG